rnacentral:rRNA from 1 species
GAUGAACGCUGGCGGCGUGCCUAAUACAUGCAAGUCGAGCGAACGGACGAGAAGCUUGCUUCUCUGAUGUUAGCGGCGGACGGGUGAGUAACACGUGGAUAACCUACCUAUAAGACUGGGAUAACUUCGGGAAACCGGAGCUAAUACCGGAUGAUAUUUUGAACCGCAUGGUUCAAAAGUGAAAGACGGUCUUGCUGUCACUUAUAGAUGGAUCCGCGCUGCAUUAGCUAGUUGGUAAGGUAACGGCUUACCAAGGCAACGAUGCAUAGCCGACCUGAGAGGGUGAUCGGCCACACUGGAACUGAGACACGGUCCAGACUCCUACGGGAGGCAGCAGUAGGGAAUCUUCCGCAAUGGGCGAAAGCCUGACGGAGCAACGCCGCGUGAGUGAUGAAGGUCUUCGGAUCGUAUAACUCUGUUAUUAGGGAAGAACAUAUGUGUAAGUAACUGUGCACAUCUUGACGGUACCUAAUCAGAAAGCCACGGCUAACUACGUG